rnacentral:rRNA from 1 species
UACGUAGGGUGCGAGCGUUGUCCGGAAUUAUUGGGCGUAAAGAGCUUGUAGGCGGUUUGUCGCGUCUGCUGUGAAAUCCGGGGCUCAACCCCGGACUUGCAGUGGGUACGGGCAGACUAGAGUGUGGUAGGGGAGACUGGAAUUCCUGGUGUAGCGGUGAAAUGCGCAGAGUAUCAGGAGGAACACCGGUGGCGAAGGCGGAUCUCUGGGCCAUAACUGACGCUGAGGAGCGAAAGCGUGGGGAGCGAACAGG